GAUGAACGCUGGCGGCGUGCUUAACACAUGCAAGUCGAACGAGAGGCGUGAGAAGAAGUUUUCGGACGGAAAUUUAUGCUUCGAGUGGCGGACGGGUGAGUAACGCGUGGGGAACCUGCCUCAUACAGGGGGAUAACAGCCGGAAACAGCUGUUAAUACCGCAUAAGACCACAGUGCCGCAUGGCACGGGGGUAAAAACUCCGGUGGUAUGAGAUGGACCCGCGUCCGAUUAGCCAGUUGGCGGGGUAAAGGCCCACCAAAGCGACGAUCGGUAGCCGAUCUGAGAGGAUGACCGGCCACAUUGGGACUGAGACACGGCCCAAACUCCUACGGGAGGCAGCAGUGGGGAAUAUUGCACAAUGGGGGGAACCCUGAUGCAGCGACGCCGCGUGAGUGAAGAAGUAUUUCGGUAUGUAAAGCUCUAUCAGCAGGGAA
rnacentral:rRNA from 1 species